rnacentral:rRNA from 1 species
UACCAGCACCCCGAGUGGUCGGGACGAUUAUUGGGCCUAAAGCAUCCGUAGCCGGUCAUGCAAGUCCUCCGUUAAAUCCACCUGCUUAACAGAUGGGCGCGGAGGAUACUACAAGGCUAGGAGGCGGAAGAGGCAAGCGGUACUCAGUGGGUAGGGGUAAAAUCCUCUGAUCCAUUGAAGACCACCAGUGGCGAAGGCGGCUUGCCAAUACGCGCUCGACGGUGAGGGAUGAAAGCUGGGGGGAGCAAACCGG